AUUGAACGCUGGCGGCAGGCCUAACACAUGCAAGUCGAGCGGUAGAGAGAAGCUUGCUUCUCUUGAGAGCGGCGGACGGGUGAGUAAUGCCUAGGAAUCUGCCUGGUAGUGGGGGAUAACGUUCGGAAACGGACGCUAAUACCGCAUACGUCCUACGGGAGAAAGCAGGGGACCUUCGGGCCUUGCGCUAUCAGAUGAGCCUAGGUCGGAUUAGCUAGUUGGUGGGGUAAUGGCUCACUAAGGCGACGAUCCGUAACUGGUCUGAGAGGAUGAUCAGUCACACUGGAACGGAGACACGGUCCAGACUCCUACGGGAGGCAGCAGUGGGGAAUAUUGGACAAUGGGCGAAAGCCUGAUCCAGCCAUGCCGCGUGUGUGAAGAAGGUCUUCGGAUUGUAAAGCACUUUAAGUUGGGAGGAAGGGCAGUAAAUUAAUACUUUGCUGUUUUGACGUUACCGACAGAAUAAGCACCGGCUAACUCUGUGCCAGCCGCCGCGGUAA
rnacentral:rRNA from 1 species